GAGAACUGUGUUUAUGAAACUGUAGUUUUGCCUUUGGAUGAAAGGGCAUUUGAGAAGACUUUAACACCAAUCAUACAGGAAUAUUUUGAGCAUGGAGAUACUAAUGAAGUUGCGGAAAUGUUAAGAGAUUUAAAUCUUGGUGAAAUGAAAAGUGGAGUACCAGUGUUGGCAGUAUCCUUAGCAUUGGAGGGGAAGGCUAGUCAUAGAGAGAUGACAUCUAAGCUUCUUUCUGACCUUUGUGGGACAGUAAUGAGCACAACUGAUGUGGAAAGCGUAAAGAUAGUGUGUGGGGCUCUGGAGGUGGGCAGCAAUCUGUCAAUCACCUUGUUAAAGAGAUUGAUAUGCUGCUGAAAGAAUAUUUACUCUCUGGAGACAUAUCUGAAGCUGAACAUUGCCUUAAGGAGCUGGAAGUACCUCAUUUUCACCAUGAGCUUGUAUAUGAAGCUAUUAUAAUGGUUUUAGAGUCAACUGGAGAAAGUACAUUUAAGAUGAUUUUGGAUUUAUUAAAGUCCCUGUGGAAGUCUUCUACCAUUACUGUAGACCAAAUGAAAAGAGGUUAUGAGAGAAUUUACAAUGAAAUUCCGGACAUUAAUCUGGAUGUCCCACAUUCAUACUCUGUGCUGGAGCGGUUUGUAGAAGAAUGUUUUCAGGCUGGAAUAAUUUCCAAACAACUCAGAGAUCUUUGUCCUUCAAGGGGCAGAAAGCGUUUUGUAAGUGAAGGAGAUGGAGGUCGUCUUAAACCAGAGAGCUACUGAAUAUAAGAACUCUUGCAGUCUUAGAUGUUAUAAA
rnacentral:sRNA from 1 species